GGGGAUAUGGCGAAAUCGGUAGACGCUGCGGACUUAAUUAAUCCGUUGACUUUUAAAAUCGUGAGGGUUCAAGUCCCUCUAUCCCCA
rnacentral:tRNA from 1 species